AGCAGUAGCCGCGGUAAAACGGAGGGGGCUAGCGUUGUUCGGAAUUACUGGGCGUAAAGCGUACGUAGGCGGCUUUGUAAGUUAGAGGUGAAAGCCUGGUGCUCAACACCAGAACUGCCUUUAAGACUGCAUCGCUUGAACGUCGGAGAGGUGAGUGGAAUUCCGAGUGUAGAGGUGAAAUUCGUAGAUAUUCGGAGGAACACCAGUGGCGAAGGCGGCUCACUGGACCAUUACUGACGCUGAGGUGCGAAAGCGUGGGGAGCAAACAGGAUUAGAUACCCGCGUAGUCCCUGUCUCUUAUAC
rnacentral:rRNA from 1 species